rnacentral:rRNA from 1 species
AUGCAAAGCUCGCCGCGCCUCCUCCUCCUUCGAAAACUCCGUAUAAAUACCAUAGCGCGUCGUCGUGCAAUGCAACAGCCAGCCAGCACAAGCUCAAGAAGCCUACUCCAGCGUUUGAGAGGACAACGGUCGACCGACGACGCACGAUGGCGCCGAGCACCGUCCCGCGCGCGCUCCUGGCCGUGUCCCUCGUUCUCCUGGUGGUCGGCGGCCUCGGGCCGGCGGCGGAGGCGCAGCGGCCGGGGGGGGUGCGUGCCGCAGCUGAACCGGCUGCUGGCGUGCCGCGCGUACCUGGUGCCCGGCGCCGCCGACCCCAGCGCCGACUGCUGCAGCGCGCUGAGCUCCAUCUCGCGCGACUGCGCGUGCAGCACCAUGGGCAUCAUCAACAGCAUCCCCUCCCGCUGCAACAUUGGACAAGUCAACUGCUGUAAGCCCACAACCCGCCAUGCAUCAUUCCUUCUUCAAAAUAAAAUCACUACUACUGCUUGUUCAUGCUUCCAAAGUUUUCUAAGCUUGAUUCUGUCUCUUUUUCCCCUGUGCAUGAACGGCAGCGGCUUGAGUCGGAACGAAGAAACGAUCCAGGUUACAGAGUGA